rnacentral:snRNA from 1 species
GCGAGAGCAAAGAAUGCUUG